rnacentral:rRNA from 1 species
GUCGAUUUCGCAGUUCUCUGUAGCAAUACAGGGGGCGGGCGCGUGGCGAUUUGGUGCGUAAUUGAGAUUGGAUAACCUUCCUUCAGGUGGGGAAUAACCCCGCGAAAGCGGGGCUAAUACCGCAUAACAUGUUUAUAGCUCAUGCUGUUGUCUUCAAAGCCGCAAGGCGCCAGAAGAGGGAUCCGUUUUCCGGAUUAGCUAGUUGGUGAGGUAAUGGCUCACCAAGGCAUUGAUCGGUAGCCGGACUGAGAGGUUGGCUUUUCCGACACUGGAACUGAGAUUGAGAUGUCCAGACUCCUUUUGGAGGCAGCAGUGGGGAAUCUUGCGCAAUGGGCGAAAGCCUGUUUCAGCAUUUCCGCGUGGGGGAUGAAGCUUCUCGGAGUGUAAACCCCCUCCGACCCGGUUUAAUGCCCGCAAGGGCUUGUUUGUUUUGGUAUAAGAAGCCCCGGCUAAUUGAGAUUUGCCAGCAGCCGCAGUAAAUUUUAGGGGGCCAGCGUUGCUCGGAAUUACUGGGCGUAAAGGGUCCGUAGGCGGUGUGGCAAGUCGGAAGUGAAAUCUCUGGGCUUAACUCAGAGGCUGCUUCCGAAACUGCUGUGCUAGAGUGCGAGAGAGGCGAGUGGAAUUGCGGGUGUAGCGGUGAAAUGCGUAGAUAUCCGCAGGAACAUCCGAGGCGAAAGCGGCUCGCUGGAUCGCAACUGUUUCUGAGGGUUUAAAGCUAGGGGAGCAAACAGGAUUAGAUACCCUGGUAGUCCUAGCCCUAAA